rnacentral:rRNA from 1 species
GACGAACGCUGGCGGCGUGCUUAACACAUGCAAGUCGAACGGAAAGGCCCUGCUUUUGUGGGGUGCUCGAGUGGCGAACGGGUGAGUAACACGUGAGUAACCUGCCCUUGACUUUGGGAUAACUUCAGGAAACUGGGGCUAAUACCGGAUAGGAGCUCCUGCUGCAUGGUGGGGGUUGGAAAGUUUCGGCGGUUGGGGAUGGACUCGCGGCUUAUCAGCUUGUUGGUGGGGUAGUGGCUUACCAAGGCUGUGACGGGUAGCCGGCCUGAGAGGGUGACCGGCCACAAUGGGACUGAGAUACGGCCCAGACUCCUACGGGAGGCAGCAGUGGGGAAUAUUGCACAAUGGGCGGAAGCCUGAUGCAGCAACGCCGCGUGCGGGAUGACGGCCUUCGGGUUGUAAACCGCUUUCGCCUGUGACGAAGCGUGAGUGACGGUAAUGGGUAAAGAAGCACCGGCUAACUACGUG